rnacentral:rRNA from 1 species
UACGUAGGGGGCAAGCGUUGUCCGGAAUUAUUGGGCGUAAAGCGCGCGCAGGCGGUUGGUGAAGUCUGAUGUAUAAACCUGAGGCUCAACCUUGGGACGCAUUGGAAACUGAUUGACUAGAGUGUAGGAGAGGAAAGUGGAAUUCCACGUGUAGCGGUGAAAUGCGUAGAUAUGUGGAGGAACACCAGUGGCGAAGGCGGCUCUCUGGGCCUUACCUGACGCUGAGGAGCGAAAGCGUGGGUAGCGAACAGG